UAGGGAAUCUUGCACAAUGGGGGCAACCCUGAUGCAGCGACGCCGCGUGAGCGAUGAAGCCCUUCGGGGCGUAAAGCUCUUUCGACCGGAACGAUAAUGACGGUACCGGGAGAAGAAGCUGCGGCUAACUACGUGCCAGCAGCCGCGGUAAUACGGAGGGUGCGAGCGUUAUCCGGAUUUACUGGGUUUAAAGGGUGCGUAGGUGGGCUUAUAAGUCAGUGGUGAAAUCUCCGAGCUUAACUUGGAAACUGCCGUUGAUACUAUAGGUCUUGAAUUAUCUGGAGGUAAGCUGAAUAUGUCAUGUAGCGGUGAAAUGCUUAGAUAUGACAUAGAACACCAAUUGCGAAGGCAGCUUACUACAUAUAAAUUGACGCUGAGGCACGAAAGCGUGGGGAUCAAACA
rnacentral:rRNA from 1 species